CAGCAGCCACGGUAAUACAGAGGGUGCGAGCGUUAAUCGGAUUUACUGGGCGUAAAGCGUGCGUAGGCGGCUAAUUGAGUCGGAUGUGAAAUCCCCGAGCUUAACUUGGGAAUUGCAUUCGAUACUGGUUAGCUAGAGUGUGGGAGAGGAUGGUAGAAUUCCAGGUGUAGCGGUGAAAUGCGUAGAGAUCUGGAGGAAUACCGAUGGCGAAGGCAGCCAUCUGGCCUAACACUGACGCUGAGGUACGAAAGCAUGGGGAGCAAACAGGAUUAGAUACCCCGGUAGUCCCUGUCUCUUAUAC
rnacentral:rRNA from 1 species